GUAGUACUUUCUCCGUCCAACAAAAGAUGUCUUAAGUUUGUUAAAGUUUGGAUGUAUCUAGACAUGACUUAGUGUAUAGAUGCAUUCAAAUUUAAAGUUGAGAAAACUUUUGUUGGACGGAGGAAGUAGGUG
rfam:Brachypodium distachyon strain Bd21 chromosome 3, whole genome shotgun sequence.